rnacentral:lncRNA from 1 species
AGUGGCUCAACAUAUUUUAAAACAUAAAGUGAACAAGUGUCAUUCAGAGUUUUCAUUUAAAUUUGCAUUGUUGGAGGGGAUAUUAGAUCCAAGCUCACAUUAACUGUUGAGACUGUAAACAACUUUACUCAAAUAGAACAAAAAAGGGGGGUGGACAGAACUACCUUGCAAACAUUUUUUUCCGUCAUUUAUUUCUUCCCCGUGUUUAUUUUUCCAGUCUCCCUGAAUUGCCAUCAUGUCAUGAAAAAUACUUUGUUUUAAACUUAAUGGAAUGGAUUGUCAUUUUGGUGGAUUUUUGCCAGUGAAGAAUUUAUCAGACUCAAUAGCCUCCAUCACUUGGCAGGACAGAAAGGCCUCGAAAGCCUCUUUCAGUAUCUCUGAGCAUACCUAACAUUUAGAAAGGUGCAACUGAAGGAACAGAGAAACUGUGUAAUUGUAAAACCUCCUUGUGGCCCCACAUGGCUCAUACUCAAAUGAUUCCAGUGUCUAUGGCCUGAGAAGUGCUUCAUGAAAUGAGGUGAUUAUCUUGACUACAUGAGGGGAUAACUUUGGAAAUGUGCUUAAAGUUCAAAAGUGCUCUUGAAAAGGCAUCAAGUCAACUCAGAGGCAAUGUUGGAGCUUAUCUGUAGCAUUUCCCCCGGCUUGGACAAGAAUACGGCAUCAUUAUCUAAACACAAAGCCAAAUGAACAGUGCCUCAAGUCAGAGAUUGGCAUGGUGAGUCGCCGGGAGGUGGAAAAGAGGCACAGCUUCAUUGAAGCUACAGUUGGCUGCAAGGAACCAUUUCAAAUCAUCUUAGUUCUACGGGGCCAUUCAGGUGGCAAAGGCCCAGGUAACAUUUGAUCAAGUUGCUACAGGGCUUGGACCUACUUUUAUUGCCCCUUACUUUUCCCACUAACAUUUUUGCUUGAAAUAUCGAUGUUUUUUUGGUGCAGCAAAACUCUUUUCCCACAGCUAAAUUGAAGUAGGGCAUAUGUGCUUCCCUCACCUCGCUCCCAGUCCCUCUUGACCCCGAAAUGGUCUAGCAGCCUGUGCUUUGUUAAACUGAAAAUGUGUAGAAAUUUUUAUAGAGAUAUUCAGCUAUAUAAAUAGCUUUGAAAUUUGUCAUAACUUUAAAAACAGGUCAAAAAGGAAAUUGAACAGCUAGUGAGUUUCUGUCUUAGUCCGUUUUGUGCUGCUAUAACAGAAUACCAUAAACUAGGUAAUUUAUAAACAAUAGAAGUUUAUUUGUCUCAAUGGCCAACAAGCAUAUGGAAAAAUGUUCAACAUCACUAAUUAUCAGGGAAAUACAAAUCAAAACCACAGUGCGAUACCACGUAACUUCUGCAAUAAUGGUCAUAAUCAAAAAAUAAUAAUAAAUAAAUAGAUGUUGGCAUGGAUAUGGUGAAAAGGGAACACUUUUACUGGGUUGGUGGGAAUGUAAACUAGCACAACCACUAUAGAAAACAGUAUGGAGACUCCUUAAAGAACUAAAAGUAGACCUACCAUUUGACCUAGCAACCCCACUGCUAUGUAUCUGCUCAGAAGUAAAGAAGUCAUUAUACAAAAAAGACACUUGUUACAUGCAUGUAUAUAGCAGUACAAUUGCCCAAAUGCCCAUCAAUCAAUGAGUGGAUAAAAAAUGUUAUAUACAUACAUAUAUGUGUGUGUAUAUAUACAUAUACAUAUACACACACACACACAUACACACACACACACACACACACACACAUAUACCAUGGAAUACUGCUCAGCCAAAGAAAGGAAUGAAAUAAUGGGAUUUGCAGCAACCUGGAUGGAAUUGGAGGCUAUUAUUCUAAGUGAAGUAACUCAGGAAUAGAUAACCAAACAUACAUGUUCUCACUCAUAUGUGGGAACUAAGCUAUGAGAAUGCAAAGGCAUAAGAAUGAUAUAUUGGAGUUUGGAGACUCAAAGGAAAGAGUGGGGGAGAGGGAGGGAUAAAAGACUACACAUUGGGUACAGUAUACAAUGCUUGAGUGAUGGGUGCAACAAAAUCUCAGAAAUCCCCACUAAUGAGCAUAUUCAUGUAACAAAAUACCAUCUGUUCCCCAAAACUUAUUGAAAUAAAAAAUAAAAAAUUAAUGAUAAUAACAAUAAAAAGAAGUUUAUUUGUCUUAUGUUUCUGGAGGCCAGGAAGUCCAAGAUCAAGGGGUUGCAUCUAGUGGGGGUCUUCUUGCUGAGUCAUAACCUGGCAGAAGACAUCACAUGAAGAGAGAAUGGAUGAGAGCCAGCAAGCAAGAGAGGGCCAAACUUGCUUUUAUAACAAACCCAUUCCUGACAUCAUGAACUUACCCCUGCCAUAAUGACAUUAAUCCAUUCCAGGGGGCAAAGCUCUCAUGACCUAAUCACCUCUCAAAAGUGCCACCUCUCGAUGCUGUUGCAUUGGGGAUUAAGUUUCCAACACAUGAACUCUGGGGAGAUGCAUUCAAACCUUAGCAGUUUAA